rnacentral:rRNA from 1 species
CCUACGGGGGGCAGCAGUGGGGAAUAUUGCACAAUGGGGGAAACCCUGAUGCAGCGACGCCGCGUGAGCGAUGAAGUAUUUCGGGAUGUAAAGCUCUAUCAGCAGGGAAGAAAAUGACGGUACCUGACUAAGAAGCCCCGGCUAACUACGUGCCAGAAGCCGCGGUAAUACGUAGGGGGCAAGCGUUAUCCGGAUUUACUGGGUGUAAAGGGAGCGUAGACGGCUUGUAAAGACAGAUGUGAAAGGCUGGGGCUCCACCGCAGGACUGCAUUUGGAACUGUCAUGCUAGAGUGUCGGAGAGGCAGGCGGAAUUCCUGGUGUAGCGGUGAAAUGCUUAGAUAUUCCGCGGAACUCCAGUUGCGACGGCGGCCUGCUGGACUAUGCCUGACGUUGAGGCUCGAAAGCGUGGGUAGCAAACAGGAUUAGAUACCCCGGUAGUC